GGUUAAGUUAAUAAGAGCAUACGGUGGAUGCCUUGGCGCUGAGAGUCGAAGAAGGGCGUGGUAAGCUGCGAAAAGCCACGGUGAGCCGCAAGCAGGCGUAAUACCCGUGGAUACCCGAAUGGGGCAACCCACCUAGAGUCAUAUCUAGGUAUCGUACACUGAAUACAUAGGUGUACGAAGACAACCCGGGGAACUGAAACAUCUAAGUACCCGGAGGAAAAGAAAUCAAACGAGAUUCCCCCAGUAGCGGCGAGCGACCGGGGAAGAGCCUAAACCAUACUUCUUUGAAGUAUGGGGUUGCGGGACU
rnacentral:rRNA from 1 species